rnacentral:lncRNA from 1 species
CGGUUAUUACCUAAAAAAUUAUUAUAGAUAGAGAUAAACUGUAAGCAGCAAUUAUGUUCAGCAAAGUAAGAUCUACAAAUAAGUCAACAUGAUCAAAAUGGUCAGUUGACCCUUUAAGGAGUUAUUGCAGUCUUUUUUUACCAAUUUUUCAUAAAUUUUUGUUAUCUUUUACAAAAAUCUUCUCCUCUGAAACUACUGGACCAA